GGCUAAGAUCAAGUGUAGUAUCUGUU
rnacentral:piRNA from 6 species